rnacentral:lncRNA from 1 species
CAGGUGAUGAUUUGAAAGGUUCGGACUGUCCAAUUUGUCUACAUGCAAAUGUGACUUUUACUACAUGUAGGACUCUGCAUUUUAUUACCUACAUUUUUGUACAAUGUAUAGAUAAAAUGUGUUGACAAUCAAAUAAAGAGGCAAUCUCUCAUUUAGUAUACUAAAAUUGAGAAAGGAAAUGGGGAAUGUGUCAAAGCAACAACAACCUGACCAUAGAGCAGACAACACCCGAAGGCCACCAAUGCAAUGGGUCCUCAAUGUAGCGAGAAUUCCUGCACCCGUAGGUGUCCUUCAACUGGCGUAUACUGGUCCG